GGCAACGUCCAAAUCACGUUGAAAUUACCAGUUCUCGUCUGAUCACUGAAGUCAAGCAACGUUGAGCACGGUUAGUACUUGGAUGGGUGACCGCUUGGGAACACCGUGUGAUGUUGCCUCUU
rnacentral:rRNA from 1 species